CCUUUACAGAGUCCUGAAAAUCAGGCUUAUCCUAGAACAUAAGGAAAACAAAACUGCUGUUAUGGAAAUUCACUUUAGUAUCUAAGGAGGUUAAAAAGACCCAAAAAAUGCUGAGUUGUGCUCAAAGGAUCAGUAAGAUAAGCAUCAGCAGCAUCACCUUUUGUGAAGUCAAACUUACGCCUGCUGUUUGGUGAAGAAAAUUCUAGGAGGAAUUGCACCAAAAUGCAAACUGAAAUUCUCUCACAUGCUCCUGCUGAGUUUUGAGUGCACCUGAACUGCUAACCAUGACAGCUGCUUGGUUCCACCAAGUGAGAAUUGUGGUCUCAACAAUGCAGUGAAGGACAUCACACUGUGUUUACACAUGGAACAUUUAGAAAGAAACUACGAGGUGAAGUUCAGAAGAAGCUGGGAGCUUGAGGAUGGUAGCAAGCCUCGACAAACUUGAUCACCUA